AAUUGGUAAAGAUGCAUCACAUAACUAAUCGAUUGAAAAAUAAUCCAGGAUUAGUAUCUGGUUAAGGUACAACGUGUGUUGAGACAAGUGAGAAAGACGUGUAUUAUUUAACAAUUAUUUGCCGAAGGCAAGGUGAUUAUCGGUAAAUAAAAACCAAGACGAAGUCGAGGUUUUUAUUCAUGAUAAUCACCGAGCCUGAGAUGAAUAAUUGUUUUAGUAUAAUUUCUUAGGUGGUUAUUCGGAAAAAAUGCACAUUUCUUCGUCAUUUAGUUGACAAAACAGCUUCGGCCGUCAUUUAGAGAAUCGGGUAAUUAUCGCGUUAUAAUCUCCUCCACGGCAAACAAUCAGCGUGGAGAAUUUUCAAUAAUCACCUAUGUAAUUAUACUAUACACUUAAUGUCUGCUCCCGAGGGAAAUAGUUAGUUUUGUUUUCCCGAGAAUCUCAAUGUUUCCCGAGACGAAGUCGAGGGAAACAUUAAGAUUCGAGGGAAAGCAAAACUAACUAUUUCCCGAGGGAACAGGCAUUAAGUGUUUUGUUAUAUAGCGACGAACGAAAAUCAACUUCAACAACAUUCAUACAACAAUUGUAUUUCGUGACAAAAACUCUAUAGUGUAAACGAGUUUAAAAUUAAAAGAACCUACUUAAACGGUUUCAGCAGCAUAUCCUGUUGCCUGUUGUGUAUUUUUCUUCUCUUUUAUAUUCUUUAUUUGAACACAAACUUGGAAAAUCGUAGUUUCUAAUUAUCUGAGUUGUGCCUCCAUUUUGUUUAUUUAUGUACGCGGCCGGUCGGGG